GGAGCCGACAGUGGCAGUAACCGAGGUGAGCUCCUCUGGAAGGGGGCUGUUGCUGAGGCCGUUCGGCACCUGUCCUGGCUGCAUCAACGGGCUGGAUGGAAGAAGAACAGAUGUGGCGGAGGCGAUGGACAUGGCACUGAUUAUUCAUACAGCUGUCCAGCUGUGGGGGCUCCACCGUCUCUCAGCUGUUAAUGGAGCCUUUGAGAGAAAGCCAGACAACUGAGGCAGAGGAUCAGUGGGAGAAAUUAUGAAUGGACAUUGCAGUCAUCCACAGUGCAGUGAUGAUGAUCAGUGGGCAGUGGGACUGAGGGUGGUUUUUAUUUCCACCUGUGAAAAACACCAAAGAAGUAUAGAUCUGCCAUGGGAAAAGAGCUUUUAUUAGACAAUACAUCCUAAAUAAUGAUAUGUUGCGAUUACAGACACCACCACCACUGCAUGAUUAUUAGAAUAAAUUAUGAUUAAUGCACAGGAUUAUUGUUCAAAUCAUAUGCAAUUUAUUGGGUCUAAAAGUGGAUGCAAGAACAUUUGAGCUCACACUUCUGUUUAUUUGUGGGCAGGUUUUCUCUUUUCAUGUUACAUUAUUUAAAUAAACUGCAGCAUCUCAGUCUUUGCUGCACUGGCCUGCGAACUGCACUGCCUCAGUCAGGACGCAAUACAAUGUUGGUGUUUUGGUGUAAAUAACAUGAAAUAAUAUAAUAUUGCACUGCAGUCUAAACUCUAUACUCUUUAACUUAUUCAAAACAACAGAGCAUUCUUUGGCCAAAUAAUGUACUGAUUAAUUGAAUGCUUAUAAACUGAUAAAUAAUACUUUGAGAUUACAAUUUCCAUGUUGGUCUACUUAGUUUACUGCCUCCAGGGGCUCAAGAGGACACUCUGCACUGGCUGCAUCAGUAAAUAAAAAAACACUACUGGAUAAUUAUUAAUUAAGCUGUAAUGGGUGACCUUUUCACCUCACUGUUGGGAUGUACAUGUGCAUAUUCAAAGUAUAAAGCAAAGAUUGCUUUUAUUCAAAUAGAAAGGAGGUUAAAGUGCUUUUAACUUACUAUUAAAAACUGCAGCACUGUGACUUCAUUUAUGAUUUAGUUAGAAAACUGAAGAAUACAUUUUCUUUCUCAAGACAA